rnacentral:other from 1 species
UUAUUCCUGAGAUGUGCGAUAUACUCUAAUAUUUUGAACCUACAAAUAUUUAUCGGGAGCUUUUGUUCUCAUGAUAAUGUCAGGCCCUCCUCGAAGGGAAGACAGAGGCAUAAGACGAGGCACCCACCUAGAACUCUUCUAGGCGUCAAAAUCUUAGAGAACGGCAUUUUGGGUAAUUU